CCGCCGCAAAUCCGCCAUCGAAUGGUUGCUAUUGUGGUGGCUGAUUUUUCUUAACAUCUUGGGACAAACUUCGUAGAGAAUUUGAAAGCAUCUCAGUAUAUUAGGUGUUCAAAAACUGAUUUUGGAUGCUAUAAUGUCACGGAGCCGCCUAUAGAUGCGUCUAGAGAUCCAUUGUAUAAAACUAAAAGGUUUUCUUAACAACACAUUACAGAAAUAGACGAGCAAAUGAUUCAGAGUUUGUGCUUGAUUUUGAAGAAAUAUAUGUUAUUGACUCGAAAUCUAAAUCCAUAACCAGGGCUAAAGUUUUGCAAUAUUUGUGAGGAGAAAUGUUGUGGAAACAGAAGGCAAGACUCUACAGGAAAUUGAAAUCUCACUUCUCCAACCUGAGUAAAGGGGAUUGCCUUCAGUCUAGAUGGACAGUAGACAACAUUGGUGAUUCUCUUGGGGAGACUCUCAUGGGGUCUCCUAAUUAUUUCAAAAGCAAUUAGAGGUAGCUAUAGCCAAAGGGAAAAAAACGAUUGAGUAAUUCCAAGGCCGAUAACUCUCAUAUUGAAUUGGACUACCAGGAUAAAGAAGAUUAUAUAUGAUUCUCCAAGCAUUGGAUCACAUUUAAGCUGAACAUUGUUUGACGUAAAGUAUGGCGAUGCAUCUAUAAUUAACUUCGAACAAAAUCACUAUUGAUUGUACAUUUGUUUGUUUACAAAUGAUCACACAGGGUAUAAGUACUGCUGAAUGCUAUUAUCCCUUUGCACAAUGUCAAAUUUGCUUUCACAAAGAAAUAAUAAAAAAACUGAUGGAAAGGCUACCACACAUGAAAGAGCUUAUGGAUAUGUAUUGUGGCCCUGAUAGAGUGACUACAAAGCAACAAAUGCAGGAGUUAGGCAGAGUCGCAAAAACUCUACCAGAGAAUAUAUCUUCAUCUGUGAAGAUGUUCACUGAUCGUGCCGUUCUUUCACUUCAAGUUUUCUUUUUUUCAACUUAGUUUAGUUUCCUGUAAAUCUUAUAAUGUGUCAUUCUCUGAAAUGGAAAACACUGAAUAUGACAAACUGGAAUAUUUAAACAGGCUUUGAGUGUUGACUUGGAAAUGGAAAUGAAUGUAAUUAUUUUGCAAUGGGAGCAAA